GACGAACGCUGGCGGCGUGCUUAACACAUGCAAGUCGAACGGUGAAGCGCCUUCCUUUUUGGUGGGUGUGGAUGAGUGGCGAACGGGUGAGUAACACGUUAGUAACCUGCCCCCUUCUUCUGGAUAACCGCAUGAAAGUGUGGCUAAUACGGGAUAUUCUGGGUCUGUCGCAUGAUGGGUCUGGGAAAGAUAUUGUUUCGGUGGGGGAUGGGCUCGCGGCCUAUCAGCUUGUUGGUGGGGUGAUGGCCUACCAAGGCGGUGACGGGUAGCCGGCCUGAGAGGGUGGGCGGUCACACUGGGACGGAGACACGGCGCAGACUCCGACGGGAGGCAGCAGUGGGGAAUAUUGCACGGUGGGCGCAAGCCUGAUGCAGCGACGCCGCGGGAGGGAUGGAGGCCGUCGGGUUGUGAACCUCUUUCGCCAGUGAAGCAGGCCUGCCUCGUUUGUGGGUGGGUUGACGGUAGCUGGAUAAGAAGCGCCGGCUAACUACGUG
rnacentral:rRNA from 1 species